AAGCAGUUUAUCGGUUUUUGACUGUUGGAAUACAAACAACUACAAGAAUACACUGUAAAUCUAUAUAGAUGCCCUUCAACUGCUUAUCGAAGUCCUUUUUGCCCCAGCUGGUAGGUCUCUAGACGUUACAGAGAACCCCGAACAACCCAAACUGCUAAUCUUUGAUACCGCUUUAUACUCACGAUCUUGUAUCCACUGAUUGACUUGUUAGAUUAAUCCAAUAAAUUUCAUUCACUCCGCAUACUCAAUCCUAUAGACACCCUUUUAUUUCUUCAAUGACAAACGUAACUCGAUUUCUUAAAACAGUCAAGAGUAAUCAAACCCACUUCAUUAAAAAUCCCGAUUCACCAUUACAACACUGACUUCAGCAACGAUUGCCUCAGUCUUCCCAAAACCCUAUGAAGAAAAAAAAUCCAAUU
rnacentral:lncRNA from 1 species